GACGUAGGGGACGAGCGUUGUCCGGAUUCAUUGGGCGUAAAGCGCGCGUAGGCGGUUCGGUAAGUCGGGUGUGAAAACACGAGGCUCAACCUCGUGCGUGCAUCCGAUACUGCCGGACUAGAGGUAGGUAGGGGAGAUCGGAAUUCCUGGUGUAGCGGUGAAAUGCGCAGAUAUCAGGAGGAACACCGGUGGCGAAGGCGGAUCUCUGGGCCUUACCUGACGCUCAGGCGCGAAAGCUAGGGGAGCAAACGGG
rnacentral:rRNA from 1 species